CACCAUCGCUGACGAAUUUACAUAUAACUACGCUUCUAACUACAGCUCGUGAGCUGUAGUUCGAACUACACAACUUAACGACAGUGUUUGCGAACGUUCGUUCGAACUAUGGUUUCGAGAAACACCUACGUCGUUCAACGAUACAUCGCACCACAUUCAACCAGGGUCGAGUUUCCCACCCAACCGUCCAACAGCAGAACAGCAUUCUGGUCACAAGCAUAGGUCCAUCACCGCUGAGCCGCCUGACAGUCACCCCAGCAGAACCGGCGCCACCUCUCAGGACUCACCACGUCUCAAUUAGCACUGGUUCCAUCUCCGUUCUUAAUAUUUUGGGCUCCAGGCUCUUAGAUUUUCAGAAGCGUCCACUAGCUUAUCCACACAGAGCCGACAAUUACACCCUAAACUCAUACGUCUCACACAGGCUGGAAUAAUCCUCCGGUGCCCAUGGAGCCCAAUAAGUACAGGGUGUUAAUUCAAAGUCCGUGAUGCUCCGGGGGCUCACAGUGACAUCAGCCUGCCAGAUGUUCUGUUACAGACAUGAUUUUCCCAGCUGCCUGGAGCCUGUCAAACUCUACAGGUGUCCUUUAGGGAAGAGGGGAGGGACGUGCCUGAUUUAUGUUGCUUCACCUGGAGUAUGACACCAUAAAGCCUGAUAACAAAUCAACCACAAGUGAAGGAAUGGCCUCAUAUCGUGUUUCUCUGCAUAUAGCUGGGUAUCUCAGUUCUUCCUCCAGGAAACAUUCAUAUACUCACUGCUGUAGCAGACUUUUAAAUUAGCCAUGUUAAACUAGGCGUGACAAAAUAUAAAUUCAUACAUCGCCGUUAAACAGCUCCUUCAAGAGAAGAGUCUUUAUUAACGAGUAGUUUGCCUUUUUUUAAAAAAAAAACAAAAAUAAACAAAAAGUAAGACUAAGUUAAUGUCACACUU